UCUCAUCUUGCCCAUGCCAAUUACUUAAUCUUCAUUAAAAUUCUUCUCGCCGUUUUAGUAUAUAUCAUGGAACAUAUACACUUUUGUUAUUAAAUCCACAAGACUUCAGUGUAUGGUAUAGAGAUAGAAUAAAUAUCCUGUUGUGAACACUCGUAUUUUGUUUCCUUCAAGACAAAAUAAAGCUACUUAAUAGCUUAACUUGCUGCCUCCCAUGCACUCAGCCACGCAACAGAGUCUGAAUGAAAAGUAGAAAAAAUUUGCAUGGAAUUUUUACUGAUACUGUUGGUUUCUG